rnacentral:rRNA from 1 species
UACGUAGGGUGCGAGCGUUGUCCGGAAUUAUUGGGCGUAAAGAGCUCGUAGGCGGUCUGUCGCGUCGGCUGUGAAAACUCGGGGCUCAACCCCGAGCCUGCAGUCGAUACGGGCAGACUAGAGUGCUGUAGGGGAGACUGGAAUUCCUGGUGUAGCGGUGAAAUGCGCAGAUAUCAGGAGGAACACCGGUGGCGAAGGCGGUUCUCUGGGCAGUGUCCUGACGCUGAGGAGCGAAAGUGUGGGAGCGAACAGG